GUCAGCCUUUACCACAAUUCCUCCCUCUUCCCACCACCAGCCGAAGAAUUCAGGAAACACAGAUUGAAACAAGACCUUUCAUCAGCUACCAAAGGGGCCAGAACACAGUGGAAAUAGUCUGCAAAGGACACAGGAAGAAUAACCAUCAAUACAGAAAUUAAUCUGACCCAGCUGAAGUACUAUUUAGGGGGGUGAUGGCAAAAUAAUGGUAUUUUCAGGCAAACACAGAGUUUAUCUGUAACAAAC
rnacentral:lncRNA from 1 species